GGUGAACGCUGGCGGCAUGCUUUACACAUGCAAGUCGAACGGUAACAGGCCGCAAGGUGCUGACGAGUGGCGAACGGGUGAGUAAUGCAUCGGAACGUGCCCAGUCGUGGGGGAUAACGCAGCGAAAGCUGCGCUAAUACCGCAUACGAUCUCUGGAUGAAAGCGGGGGACCGAAAGGCCUCGCGCGAUUGGAGCGGCCGAUGUCAGAUUAGGUAGUUGGUGGGGUAAAGGCCCACCAAGCCAACGAUCUGUAGCUGGUCUGAGAGGACGACCAGCCACACUGGGACUGAGACACGGCCCAGACUCCUACGGGAGGCAGCAGUGGGGAAUUUUGGACAAUGGGCGCAAGCCUGAUCCAGCAGUGCCGCGUGCAGGAAGAAGGCCUUCGGGUUGUAAACUGCUUUUGUACGGAACGAAACGGUCCGGGCUAAUACCCUGGGCUAAUGACGGUACCGUAAGAAUAAGCACCGGCUAACUACGUGCCAGCAGCCGCCGCAG
rnacentral:rRNA from 1 species